rnacentral:lncRNA from 1 species
AAGCUUCGACAAUUCUGUGGAGAUAAACUUUCAGUAGACGUGGAGCAGAUUAUCACAGUUGAAUUGUGCUGAGAGAAGAGCUGAAAUGACUAAGCUCACAGGAAAACUACCAAAGGGCGUUACUGAAUGUCCAGUUUACAGUCUCCAAAGGGGAGCUGCCUCUGCUGGUGGUGAUGCAUGGAACAUGGCUUUAUUGUGUGAACCUUGGAAAUGGACACCAGAGAGUCCUGGACUUGUAGUCGGUGUAGCAGAAGUUGAUCUGGGGCCGAGGUCUUAAGAUUUCUGAGGCUCAAGACAUGAGUAAUAGAUUGCUAGUCUUUCCAUGGAUGAGAACCGGCAAAAUCUCUAAGUGAGAAAUCACAUCAUCUAUAGUUCAAAGCAGAGUUCCUAUUCCAAUGAGAAAGAAUACUCAUCAGAAGGUCAAGGCAUGCAACCAACCAAUCCAUACGAUGUGUUCCAAUAUGCUCAACUCUGCUCUCAAUGUUUUGCAGCAUGUCAGAAUGUAAACUUAACAGCAACCUCUGAGGUGUUAAAUACAGACAAGUCAAAGUAGAUUAAAUCUAUUUCAACAUAAAGAUUUGAACAUGGCACUCUGCCCCGGAAAUGCAUGUGACCCCCUCAAUAUGCUGCCUUUGCUGCACAACUGUCUUUUUGUACUCUUGUAAUGUUGAUGGCUUGUGCAUCAUCAAAACCAAACAAACGUCUGU